ACACCUGGGCCACGCCCACCGCGCACCUGGGACCCUCCUUGCACAGCUGGGAGCUCACCUGGACACCUGGGACACACCUGAGCCCCUCCCCAGCACACCUGGAGCCGAUUCCUGCCCCUCCAAACCUUUCGAACAAAGGCACAGGUGAGCCCAGGUGAGCCCAGGUGAGCUCAGGGCGAGGCCAGGAGGAGCACAGCACACCUGGGCCACGCCCACUGCACACCUGUCCCCUCAACCACGCACAGGUGACUCCCCCAGGUGUGGCCACGUCCAUCCAGGUGAGCCCAGGUGAGCUCAGGGUGGGGACUGGAGCGGCACCAGCACACCUGGGCACACCUGGGACUCAUGAAAACACCUGGGCCACACCCAAGUAACGCACAGGUGACUCCUCCAGGUGCGUCAGUGUCCAUCCGGGUGUGUCCAAUAUCCAUCCAGGUGUGUCCAGGUGAGCUCAGGUGUGCCCAGGGCGGCCUCAGCCCCACCCAGUAAGCGCACAGGUGACUCCUCCAGGUGUAUUGAAGCGUGUCCACGUCCAUCCAGGUGUGCCAGGUGUGUCCAGGUGAGCUCAGGUGUGCCCAGGUGCGCUCAGG